CGUGGCGUCCCUGGAGCCCUGGGAUGCAGGUUUGAGGCCCAGCAUCUCUCAGCCCCAUCAGCCCAUCGAUCACUGGAGUCCUUAGGUCUGUGGCAUGUGCUGCCACAGUGCCCCCUCCUCAUAACCUUGCUUUCCCUCUGGGACGGUCCCCCAAUCCCCUCAUUCCCCACCCGUCUGCUAUAUCCACCAUCAGCUUCUUUGACCUGUGGUUGCUGGGUUGGCGUGUGUAAAGUAACGCUGGUGCCGCGAAGCCUGGGUCUUUACCGUCUCCUGCGCAGGAGCUCUGCUCCUCUCUCCUGACGGCAAACCGGCCGCCAGGGGUGAACAUGUGAUGGCGAUGCGAAAAUGUACCCUCCAGGAAGGACAGGCGGAAAGAGGACGUGCCACGUGGUAUCUUACUGUGUGAAAAGGGAGGUAGUUACCCUUUUUAGUUUCAGGCCUAGGAAGGGGAGCAGUCGUAACUGCUUUCUACUGAAAUGACAGCUUAAGCCCUUGGGACUCACCCAGCCUCUCUUCCACCUCCAGGAAAGAAGGGCGAGGCUGACGAUGAACAGGGCCACACGUGUGCACUGCACUGUGUCUCACUGGUGGAAAUGAAUUUAUCUAAAAGACUUCUUAGAUUCCACUUGCCUGGUUCCCCUGACAAUAGCGACCUGAUGUUUACAAUCAGGGGACAGUCGGGGAACAAGACAGAAGGAAACCACUGGCUUCUGAGACACAACCUGCUGACCUGUAAGCUCCUUGAGGAUAGCGCAAAGUCUGAGAGAUACUCUUCUGGAUGCUGGAAGGACGCCUGGCGGAGAAAGCACCUGGCAAGGGCCCUUCUGAAGUCGCUGUUCUCGGCACAGCUUCUCCUGUGCCUUGGCCUGAUGGUUCAGAGUGACGCUGACCACCACGAGAGGGUUCCGGAAGAGGCUGCUGUUACAGUGCAGGGCACCUUACCUGGGAGGAAGAGCCUGGCCCUCUUCCCACCCAGCUGGGUCACUUCUCUGUCACCCAGACCAGUACAAAGGCGGCCGGAGUUGGUCCAGGUCAGUUUGGACUGGGAAGAGGGAGCGUGGGGAGGGGAGGCCUGCUUGAGGGAAGUGGAGAGGCCAGAACAAAGAGUCAGGAGACCAUUGCCCGUGUCCCCAAAGGGUCGGGUCCUCUGGGAUGCCCGAGACAUGCGGGCAGAAGGGUCAGAACCCCAGCCUGCGGCCCAGCAGCCUGCCUUGUCGAGGGCUCAGGGCAGGCCGCCCCGGCCUGAGGGGCUCGACCGAGCCCGGCCGCACAGGGC
ensembl:lncRNA